rnacentral:rRNA from 1 species
AUUGAACGCUAGCGGGAUGCCUUACACAUGCAAGUCGAACGGCAGCGCGGACUUCGGUCUGGCGGCGAGUGGCGAACGGGUGAGUAAUGUAUCGGAACGUGCCCAGUAGCGGGGGACAACCACUCGAAAGAGUGGCUAAUACCGCAUACGCCCUACGGGGAAAGGGGGGAGUCGCAAGACCUCUCACUAUUGGAGCGGCCGAUAUCGGAUUAGCUAGUUGGUGGGUAAAGGCCUACCAAGGCGACGAUCCGUAGCUGGUUUGAGAGGACGACCAGCCACACUGGGACUGAGACACGGCCCAGACUCCUACGGGAGGCAGCAGUGGGGAAUUUUGGACAAUGGGGGAAACCCUGAUCCAGCCAUUCCGCGUGUGCGAUGAAGGCCUUCGGGUUGUUAAAGCGACUUUUGGCAGGAAAGGAAAUACGUGU